AUGGAGGCUGUGGCGACGGCCGCGGCCACCUCUUUCGUGGAGUGGAUGGUGCCGAAGCUCUUCGAUUUCUUACAUGAAAAUCACGAGCUUCGGAAGAACCUGGAGCAUGACAUCAAGUACAUCAAGGACGAGUUUGCCAUGAUUUCUGCCGUCAUCCAGGAUGAGCAAAACAGUCGCCAUGGAAGGGGUGAAGAGGUGCAUAAGGAGUGGAUCAGGAUGGUACGUGAGGUGGCGCACGCCAUUGAAGACUGCAUCGACCGCUUCAUGCACCGCGUGAGGAGGGCCAAGACAGGGGCCGGUUGGCUCCGUCGGGCUGUCCACCGGGUGAAGACGGUGAAGGCCCGUAACGAGUUUGCCAUGGCUAUCCAGAAGCUCAAGAAGAUAUCAGAGGAUGCGUCCAAGCUGAGAGGAGCAUAUUGUAGCAGCACCACCUCUUCGCCAGGGCGGUCGCUGUCGUCUGAGCAGAUAGAGAAGGCAGCGGCGACCGAAGACGGCGACCAUUCAGCAGCAUCAUGCCCUGUUCCCAUGGGUAUGGACGAUCCCCGCGACGAGCUUCUGGAUCUGAUCCGGCAGCAGCAGCAGCUCAAGGUGAUCACCAUUGUUGGGUUCCAUGGUAUGGGCAAGACUCUCCUGGCCAAUCAUGUGUAUAACUACAAGGUAAAUGAGAGCCAAUACGAAGCACGGGCCUGGGUUCCUCCAACGAAACUUGGAGGAACAGCCGCCAAUGUUCUCAGGGAGAUACUCGGGCAACUUGGCCAUCCCACCGACGGCCGUCUCACCAAGCUUCAGGAAAGAAUCAAAGAGUGCCUUGGGACCAAAAGGUUCUUCAUUGUGAUUGAUGGCUUGCAGAAAGCAGGAUAUUGGCACGAUAUAAAAGUGGCUUUUGCGGGGUUAAGCGGCAGAUUUCUGGUGACGACGACUAUUCAGCGCGUAGCAAAUACGUGCAGCAGCUCAGCUGUUAAUGAUCAUGUGUACACAAUGUCAACUCUGGCCAAUCAACACUCAAGGCUAUUGUUCUUCAAGGAAAUUUUCCAAGAUGAUGAACUACCGCCAGAUGUGGAGGAGCUUGGCUCCGAAGCGCUCAAGAAAUGCGAUGGUCUUCCCCUUGCUCUUGUUACCACUGCCAGGUUCUUGCAAAGCGCAGGUAAUCCGACACCCAUGAAAUGGGCAAAGUUAUGCACCGACCUGGGUUCACAUUUGGAGAGCGAUGAGCUAUUUUCAAGAAUGAGGGAGUGUGCUUGUGCAGAGCUACACCAGCUAUAUUCUUGCUAUAUUUGA
rnacentral:rRNA from 1 species